GGCCUGAUGGUCUAGUGGUAUGAUUGUCGCUUCGGGACUCACGUGCCUGGAUACCCAGUAUCCGAGAUUGUGACAGGCCCCGGGUUCGAAUCCCGGUCAGGCCC